rnacentral:rRNA from 1 species
UUGACCUCGAAUCAGGUAGGGAUACCCGCUGAACU